ACUGAUAGAGGCGCAGCAAAGAUCAUUAACAUACAGCAAGGCACCGUGCCGUGGAUUUUCCGAAGCUGUAUGCGAAAGGCAAUGCUGCCGAAGAUUUGAUACUUUUGCGGAAGGUGUCAUUUCUGAUUAUAUAUUUAAGAGAUAUAUAAUUGUCAUCAUAAUGUGAUGGAGUGCUAUCG
rnacentral:ncRNA from 1 species